UUGCCAAAAUAUUUAGUAAUAAAGUUUAGCUUAAAAGAGAUCUUACUUACCCUAUUGACUCUCGUAUACACCUCCCUAUUCAUGUGAUUUACUCUCAUAAAGAUAAAAAAGAAAUAUAACUAACUUCCUAAUUCAUUUUCCCUUCACGUCAAUCUACUCCUCACGUCUUACUUUUCUUUUUGAACCUUAAUCCCGCGUCUUCACUCCUACUCCUUGAAACAAGACCUAAUAACUACCAUUGUUCUUCUUUAUAAAAGAGAAAACGGACGAGGACACACAGGAGAACAGAGGAAAGGGGCAACAUUUUUCCAAGAACAAGCAUAACUCGUCCAUUUCCUCCAUGGAAACGAACCAACUUCACCUCUGUAAAAGAUCAUUUUCGUCACCUUAAAAGCUUCCAAAUCAUUCUCCCCAAAGCAUCUUGUGUUGGGAAUAAAAUAUUAAUUCCCACUUUACUCGGUCGUUGAACAAUAUGAAAAAUAACACAAGCAAUCGGAACACAAAAAUUUACGUGGAAAACCCUCCCAAAUUUAGAGGGAAAAACCACGGGCCAAACUCCGAGAAAUAUCCACUAUAAAAAAAAUAAUGGUACACCAAAAUCUCAAGUGACCAACUUGAGAAACACCAAAAAUAGAGACGAUACAAGAACACCCUUUGGGACAAAUAUUGUACCCAAAGAAA
rnacentral:lncRNA from 1 species